GACGAACGCUGGCGGCGUGCCUAACACAUGCAAGUCGAACGGAAAGGCCCUGCUUGCAGGGUGCUCGAGUGGCGAACGGGUGAGUAACACGUGGGUGAUCUGCCCCUUACUUUGGGAUAAGCCUGGGAAACUGGGUCUAAUACUGGAUAGGACCAUGCUGUAGGUGGUGUGGUGGAAAGAUUAGUUUCGGUAAGGGAUGAGCUCGCGGCCUAUCAGCUUGUUGGUGGGGUAAUGGCCUACCAAGGCGUCGACGGGUAGCCGGCCUGAGAGGGUGGACGGCCACAUUGGGACUGAGAUACGGCCCAGACUCCUACGGGAGGCAGCAGGGGGGAAUAUUGCACAAUGGGCGCAAGCCUGAUGCAGCGACGCCGCGUGGGGGAUGACGGCCUUCGGGUUGUAAACUCCUUUCAGCCAUGACGAAGCCUUCGGGUGACGGUAGUGGUAGAAGAAGCACCGGCUAACUACGUG
rnacentral:rRNA from 1 species